rnacentral:rRNA from 1 species
CCUACGGGAGGCAGCAGUAGGGAAUCUUCCGCAAUGGACGAAAGUCUGACGGAGCAACGCCGCGUGAGUGAUGAAGGUUUUCGGAUCGUAAAGCUCUGUUGUUAGGGAAGAACAAGUGCGAGAGUAACUGCUCGCACCUUGACGGUACCUAACCAGAAAGCCACGGCUAACUACGUGCCAGCAGCCGCGGUAAUACGUAGGUGGCAAGCGUUGUCCGGAAUUAUUGGGCGUAAAGGGCUCGCAGGCGGUUUCUUAAGUCUGAUGUGAAAGCCCCCGGCUCAACCGGGGAGGGUCAUUGGAAACUGGGAAACUUGAGUGCAGAGGAGGAGAGUGGAAUUCCACGUGUAGCGGUGAAAUGCGUAGAGAUGUGGAGGAACACCAGUGGCGAAGGCGACUCUCUGGUCUGUAACUGACGCUGAGGAGCGAAAGCGUGGGGAGCGAACAGGAUUAGAUACCCUGGUAGUCCACGCCGUAAACGAUGAGUGCUAAGUGUUAGGGGGUUUCCGCCCCUUAGUGCUGCAGCUAACGCAUUAAGCACUCCGCCUGGGGAGUACGGUCGCAAGACUGAAACUCAAAGGAAUUGACGGA